GCAGGUGAGCGCGUUGGGUGCCUCGGACUGUAAAUCCGUCGCGAAAGCUACGAAGGUUCGAAUCCUUCACCUGCCA
rnacentral:tRNA from 1 species